rnacentral:misc_RNA from 1 species
UACUGAGUUUACGCUCUACAACCCUUUGUGAACAUACCUAUAACUGUUGCUUCGGCGGGUAGGGUCUCCGUGACCCUCCCGGCCUCCCGCCCCCGGGCGGGUCGGCGCCCGCCGGAGGAUAACCAAACUCUGAUUUAACGACGUUUCUUCUGAGUGGUACAAGCAAAUAAUCAAAACUUUUAACAACGGAUCUCUUGGUUCUGGCAUCGAUGAAGAACGCAGCGAAAUGCGAUAAGUAAUGUGAAUUGCAGAAUUCAGUGAAUCAUCGAAUCUUUGAACGCACAUUGCGCCCGCCAGCAUUCUGGCGGGCAUGCCUGUUCGAGCGUCAUUUCAACCCUCAAGCUCUGCUUGGUGUUGGGGCCCUACAGCUGAUGUAGGCCCUCAAAGGUAGUGGCGGACCCUCCCGGAGCCUCCUUUGCGUAGUAACUUUACGUCUCGCACUGGGAUCCGGAGGGACUCUUGCCGUAAAACCCCCAAUUUUCCAAAGGUUGACCUCGGAUCAGGUAGGAAUACCCGCUGAACUUAAGCAUAUCAAUAAGCGGAGGAAAAGAAACCAACAGGGAUUGCCUCAGUAACGGCGAGUGAAGCGGCAACAGCUCAAAUUUGAAAUCUGGCCCUAGGCCCGAGUUGUAAUUUGCAGAGGAUGCUUUUGGUGCGGUGCCUUCCAAGUUCCCUAGAACGGGACGCCAGAGAGGGUGAGAGCCCCGUACAGUUGGACACCAAGCCUUUGUAAAGCUCCUUCGACGAGUCGAGUAGUUUGGGAAUGCUGCUCAAAAUGGGAGGUAUAUUUCUUCUAAAGCUAAAUACCGGCCAGAGACCGAUAGCGCACAAGUAGAGUGAUCGAAAGAUGAAAAGCACUUUGAAAAGAGGGUUAAACAGCACGUGAAAUUGUUAAAAGGGAAGCGCUUGUGACCAGACUUGCGUCCGGUGAAUCACCCAGCUCUCGCGGCUGGGGCACUUCGCCGGCUCAGGCCAGCAUCAGCUCGCUGUCGGGGACAAAAGCUUCAGGAACGUAGCUCUCUUCGGGGAGUGUUAUAGCCUGUUGCAUAAUACCCUUCGGCGG